rnacentral:rRNA from 1 species
UAGGGAAUCUUCGGCAAUGGGGGGAACCCUGACCGAGCAACGCCGCGUGAGUGAAGAAGGUUUUCGUAUCGUAAAGCUCUGUUGUUAAGGAAGAACGAGUGUGAGAAUGGAAAGUUCAUGCUGUGACGGUACUUAACCAGAAAGGGACGGCUAACUACGUGCCAGCAGCCGCGGUAAUACGUAGGUCCCGAGCGUUGUCCGGAUUUAUUGGGCGUAAAGCGGGCGCAGGCGGUUAGAAAAGUAUGAAGUGAAAGGCAGUGGCUCAACCAUUGUAGGCUUUGGAAACUGUUUAACUUGAGUGCAGAAGGGGAGAGUGGAAUUGCAUGUGUAGCGGUGAAGUGCGUAGAUAUAUGGGGGAACACCGGUGGCGAAAGCGGCUCUCUGGUCUGUAACUGACGCUGAGGCUCGAAAGCGUGGGGAGCGAACAGG